GCCCAGCUGGUGGUGUUCCAAGCUGAGCACGCCCCUGGAGGCCAAGCACAGCUGCUGAUGUGCCGACUGAUGUGGUCCCAGCCGAUGAUCCAGCAGCCGCAGGCUCAGCUGGCGGUCUUCCAGCCGAGCAUGCCCUUACCCAGCAGCUGAUGUGCCGGCUGACGCAGUCCAUGCCGAUGAUCCAGCAGCUGAGGGCCCAGCUGGUAGGGUUACGGCCGCUGAGCGAGGCCCAGCUGGUGGUGUGCCAGUUGAGCAUGCCCCCUGGGGGCCAAGCCCAGCUGCUGAGGUUCCGGCUGAUGUGGUCCCAGCCGAUGAUCCAGCAGCUGAAGCUCCAGAAGGAGGUAUCCAGCCGACGAUGUCCCAGCUGCUGAAGUUGACAUCUAGCGGUGUCCAACCAAAGAUGCCGCAGCUGCAAUGGUCCAGCUGCCGAGGCUCCAGAUGGCGUGUCCCAGCCAAGGAUUUUCACGAGAGAAGAAGGGAAGAACGCAUUUUCUCUCCAUUCUUAAUAAUAAUUUCGUUACAGUUCUAAUUCGUCUUGUUGAGCAUAAGUGGUUCCACAGUUUGAUGCCACUUAACACCCUCUUACCUUGGCCUGUUGGCGUUCCUUAGUAUUUACCCGCUACAUAGAGAUAUGGACUUCGCUGCACUCUAUGCAGUCUUCGGGGCCACCUGCAGUCCACUGUCUGCUCUGUGUUUUAACAUUGACAUAUAAUUUAUAUUAUUAUUAAUAAUUGCCAUGCCGGAGCCUACUUAACUACUUGACGCUGGCAUUCACUACUUCUCUUAGUUUCCCACUGAGGAGGCGUCCGAUUGUUCCAGGAGUUAGCACUUACUGUAUCUGGCAGUAACAUCACUAGGCUUCUCAGUUACUCCCCACUCAGUUAUGCUUGGGACUUCAUUCAAUCCUACCCAUUCCUGCCUUUCGCAACAGAUGUCGCAUCCAGUUAUCCCCACUCUUGCAGCCUAAGUUGCCAGCAGUACACUUAUGAUGGGGAUCCCACGCAACUGUGCCUUUGCCUUUCACGUUACCACUGCACGCCAGCCCCUGCCCACCCUUACUGCUUUAAUACUUCCAGAUCCACGAUAGAACGAGGACGAGGAAAACCUG